rnacentral:rRNA from 1 species
AGAGUUUGAUCAUGGCUCAGGAUGAACGCUGGCGGCGUGCUUAACUCAUGCAAGUCGAACGGACUGCGAGGAGCUUGCUCCUUGCGGUUAGUGGCGGACGGGUGAGUAACGCGUGGGUAACCUGCCUUAUACUGGGGAAUAACACAGAGAAAUCUGUGCUAAAACCGCAUAAGCUUACAGUAACGAAUGUUAGAGUAAGAAAAACUCCGGUGGUAUAAGAUGGGCCCGCGUCCGAUUAGCUAGUUGGUGGGAUAACAGCCCACCAAGGCGACGAUCGGUAACCGGCCUGAGAGGGUGACCGGUCACACUGGGACUGAGACACGGCCCAGACUCCUACGGGAGGCAGCAGUGGGGAAUAUUGCACAAUGGAGGGAACUCUGAUGCAGCAACGCCGCGUGAAGGAUGAAGGUUUUCGGAUCGUAAACUUCUAUCAGCAGGGAAGAAUGAAUGACAGUACCUGACUAAGAAGCCCCGGCUAACUACGUGCCAGCCGCCGCGGUAAUUC